rnacentral:rRNA from 1 species
CCUACGGGUGGCAGCAGUAGGGAAUAUUGCUCAAUGGCGGAAACCCUGAAGCAGCAACGCCGCGUGAAGGAUGAAGGUUUUAGGAUUGUAAACUCCCUUUGUUAGAGAAGAUAAUGACGGUAUCUAACGAAUAAGCACCGGAUAACCCCGUGCCAGCAGCGCCGGUAAGACGGAGGGUGCAAGCGGUACACGGAAUCACUGGGCGUAAAGUGGAUGUAGGGGGGAUAGCAAGUCAGAUGGGAAAUGCUAAGGGCUAACCAUAGAACUGACGUUGAAACUGUUUGUCUAGAGUAUGGGAGAGGUAGGUGGAAUUCUUGGUGUAGGGGUAAAAUCCGUAGAGAUCAAGAGGAAUACUCAUUGCGAAGGCGACCUGCUAGAACAUAACUGACGCUGAUGCGCGAAAGCGUGGGGAGCAAACAGGAUUAGAUACCCUAGUAGUC